AGCUGCGCGGUGAGUGCAUAGCGGACUAUUCUUUCACCUUUUACUAAAGAAUACCGUGUGCUCGCUGCAAUAAUUCAAGCAGCAUACGCCACUUUUUGGAGGGAUUCUUUCUUCUUAGGAAAA
rnacentral:snRNA from 1 species